rnacentral:rRNA from 1 species
ACGGAGGAUCCAAGCGUUAUCCGGAAUCAUUGGGUUUAAAGGGUUCGUAGGCGGUUGCAUAAGUCAGUGGUGAAAUCUCCUAGCUUAACUAGGAAACUGCCAUUGAUACUGUGUGACUUGAAUUAUUAGGAAGUAACUAGAAUAUGUAGUGUAGCGGUGAAAUGCUUAGAGAUUACAUGGAAUACCGAUUGCGAAGGCAGGUUACUACUAAUCGAUUGACGCUGAUGGACGAAAGCGUGGGUAGCGAACAGG